AUUCUUUUGUAGUUCAUAAGCAUGAUGAUUGGGUCUUCAUUCGCAUGUGUGAGAUGUGCCUCCCUCAAACCUUGUUACGACAUAGGCACAUUACCCAUCUGACU
ensembl:snoRNA